GCCAGGUGUGGUGGUGUGUACCUGUAGUCCCAGCUAUUUCAGAGGCUGAGAUGGGAGGAUCGCUUGAACCCAGGAGUUUGAGGCUGCGGUGAGCUGUGACUGCACCGCUGCACUCCAGCCUGGGUGACAGAGUGAGAUCCCAUCUCUA
ensembl:misc_RNA Metazoa_SRP Metazoan signal recognition particle RNA